CCCUUAGAUGUUCUGGGCUGCACGCGCGCUACACUGACAUGUCCAGCGAGCUCCCAACCUGCUCGGCAAAGAAUGGGUACCCUUUUUAACGCAUGUCGUGAUGGGGAUAGAUUAUUGCAAUUGUUGAUCUUGAACGAGGAAUUCCUAGUAAGUGCAAGUCAUUAGCUUGUGCUGAAUACGUCCCUGCCCUUUGUACACACCGCCCGUCGCUACUACCGAUUGAAUGGUUUAGUGAGAUCUUCGGAUUGGCGCCACUGCGGCUCAGCAAUGGGCUCGGUGGAUGCCGAAAAGUUGAUCAAACUUGAUCAUUUAGAGGAAGUAAAAGUCGUAACA
rnacentral:rRNA from 1 species